GGCGGCCCGGGGCGCCCGCGAGUGAGGCGCGGGGCCGACGGCGGCGGGCGGGCGGCGGGCGCGGCCGGCUCUCGCGGGGCCUUGCAUGGGCUGGGCCCUUUGCCGCUCCGCCUCCUGCACACGCGCGGCGGCCGCGGCGGGGGGACGCGCGCCCUGGGCCCCGGCGGCCUCGGGAGCCCCCCGGCCGGGGCCUGCGGCCUGCGCCGCCCCCCCGCGCCCCGCCGCCCGGGCUGCGCGGGGGGCCGGGGCCGGGCCGGGGGGCGCUGAGGCGGGCGGCGCGGGGGCCGGCGGGCGGCCGCUGUCCCCGAGGGGCCGGGGCGCUCGGCGGCCCCGGGGCUCUGCGCGCGCCGCCGCGGGCGUGCCGGGCGGCCCGGAGGAGGCUGGCGCGCGGGGCCGAGGCGCUAACGCCCUGGAGGACGAGCCGACGCGGCCGGCAGCCCCGGCGGCCUCCGCAGGGCCCGCGGACGCGGACGUGGCGGCCCGGACGGCGCGGCCCGCGGCACCGGACGUGCGCUCGGCCGGGCGCCCUCGGAGCUGCGUGCGGGACAUUCGCCUCUCGGCCGGGAAGGGGCCGUCGGUCUCCGGCCCGGCGCUGACUGUGUGGACGCGGGGGGCAGGGAGCGCCAGGCCGCCCCGCCGCGAUGGACGCGUUCGCCGAGGGCGAGCUGGUGUCGGUGGCCAUGGACACUUUCAUCCACCGCAUCGACUCGGCCGAGGUCAUCUACCAGCCGCGCCGCCAGCGCGCCAAGCUCAUCGAGAAAUUCAACUACUGAGGAGGCUACGGCACAAGAACGUCAUCCAGCUGGUGGACGUGCUGUACAACGAGGAGAAGCAGAAGAUGUAUAUGGUGAUGGAGUACUGCGUCUGUGGCAUGCAGGAAAUGCUGGACAGCGUGCCUGAGAAGAGGUUCCCCGUGUGCCAGGCCCACGGGUACUUCUGCCAGCUCAUCGACGGGCUUGAGUACCUGCACAGCCAGGGCAUCGUGCACAAGGACAUCAAGCCCGGGAACCUGCUGCUCACCACGAGCGGGGCCCUCAAGAUCUCGGACCUGGGCGUGGCCGAGGCCCUGUCCCCGUUCGCCAAGGAUGACACGUGUCGCACGAGCCAGGGCUCGCCGGCCUUCCAGCCACCUGAGAUCGCCAACGGCCUGGACACCUUCUCCGGCUUCAAGGUGGACAUCUGGUCAGCGGGGGUCACGCUCUACAACAUCAUCACGGGCCUGUACCCCUUCGAGGGGGACAACAUCUACAAGCUGUUCGAGAACAUCGGGAAGGGGGAGUACACGAUCCCGGGCGAGUGCGGUCCCCCGCUCUCCGACCUGCUGAGAGGGAUGCUCGAGUACGAACCCUCCAGGAGGUUCUCCAUCCAGCAGAUCCGGCAGCACAGCUGGUUCCGGAAGAAGCACGUGCCGGCCGGGGCGCUGGUGCCCAUCCCGCCGAGCGCGGACGCGCGGGACCCCUGGCGCAGCAUGACGGUGGUGCCCUACCUGGAGGACCUGCACGGCCGCGCCCAGGGCGGUGAUGACGACGGCCUCUUCGACCUCGAGGAUGACAUCAUCUACACUCAGGACUUCACGGUGCCCGGUGACGAGGAGGCAGCUGAGGCAGGGCUUAGCGAGGACCGAGGCGCCCUGGAGAGCGGGUGCUCAGACCCGUCUGCAGCAGAAGCCGAGGCGGCCGCAGGGCCCGAGGAGCUUGAGGCCGUAGCGUAGGGUGGCUGGGCCUGGGCCGGGCAGAGCAGGCAGGCAGCCCCAGGCCGAGGGACUUCGCUACCCGGCCCUGGGCGCAGGGCGGCCAGACGGCCCCACAGGGACGCACCCCCCUCAGGGCGAGGAGACCCCGGGCCCUCCGCUCCCCAGGGUGCUCCUGGUUGGUUUUGUGAUGGGGCCGGUUCUCAGGGUCAGCGUCAUAAAAGGUUGGCCCCGCUGUGUGUCUGAGACAGAUGCUUGUCCCCCCAGCCCCUCCUAGGCCCCCAGACCCUUGCGCUGAGGCUUCCCUAGCCCCAGCCCCCCACAGGCCUCCCUGCCAGAGGCCCUGCGCUGGGCUGAGGUCAGGGUGGGCUCCGGAGCCUGGCGGCCCCUCAGCACUUGUCCUUUCCUCACGCGGGUUUUUCAGGGGUGAACGUUCGAUCCUGUCCUCACGGAGGGGAGGAGUGGGCCCGGCCGGUGGCCUCCCGGCUACACCACAGCGUCCCGCGAGCCCUGGGCACAGGAGAGCUGCCUGCAGCCGGUCCAGGCUCCCAGCUCGGGGGUCCCGGCCGUGCUGGGGGCGAGAGCAGCCCCUUGGGGGCAAAGUCACCGCCUGCCUGGGUCCCACAGCCCCCCGAGACACUUCCGUGGCCGAGCGUGUUUCCUGCCGUCAGACGUGGCCACAGCCCCGGGUCCAGGGCCUGAAGCUCUGGGGCCUCUUGAGGCCCCACCCGUCCCUCUCAGGCAGGAACAGGGUCUUGGGCUCCGUGUCCACAGCCAGCUGGGUGUGACCUGGGGUCCCCACGGGGACAGCGAGGGCAGAGCUGGCCUGUCUGCGAUGGCCUUGCUUGAAGGAAGGAGAGCCUGGCACAGCUCAGAGGUCCGAUGAGUGUGUUUUGGGGGCCUCCCAGCCAGACGUCACUCUCUGAGGGACCCCCCCCACACCCACAACUGUAGCCCAGAUGCCUUGGACAGGCCCGGGGGCUGGUGCCCUGGGAGCCUACACUGCAGCCGUGGGUGGCCCCUCCUGCCCCCGCCAUCGGGCUGGCGGCCAGUGUUUGUGCUGAGAGACCUACACUCAGGCCCUGCGGCUGCCCCUGCUCCUCCCAUGGCAGCCGGCCGGGCCGGGCCGGGGCAGGGGUCCUGGGCACGAUGUGUGCUUUGAGGGAGUGGGCCAGGCACCUCCCAGCGUCCUCCAUGCUGAGGGGCAAGGGGACAGCUGUGUUGGGCGUGGAGCCCCCAAGUGGGGCCUCCGAGGUGAUGGGUGCAGGUCCUGGACCCCCCACAGCCCCCAGCCCUGCGGUGGGAGAAGCCCCUGCACCCUGAGCUGCUAACGCAGCCUGCUGUCCGGGAGGGGCGGCCCCGAAGCCGAGUUGGGCACUGAUGCCUGGGGGAGAUGGUGGGCUGUGGGUGGGUGUCGGGGAGGGGCUGCGGACAGACGCCAGCUCGCGAGCUCACGCCCCUGGGAGGGGCUGUGCUCCAGGCCUGCCGCGGUUCUCACACACAGUCCAGGGGCCAUCCCUGUGCUCCCGUGCACUUUCUCCUCACCCGCCCUGCUGCCCACAGACUCGGGAAGCUUCUCUACCUGCCCCCAUGCCAGAGCCAGGGUCACGGGGUGCCCAGAGGCACGGUUGUCACUCCUCCAAGUGGCUCCCUGCUGUCCUGAGCCAGCCCUGUGCUGGGCCCUGGGGUGCAGGGGUGGCCGUCCCACCACAGACACAGGUCCCUGGAGCCCACAGCCCUCACCUCAAACUGCUUCCUGGGAAGCCCUGGUCUCCCACAGGCUGGGAUAACGGCCAGCCCGGCCCCCUUGGCGGGGGUGUGUGUGGUUGAGGCCCAGCCGGCUGAGGCCAGCUCCCCCUGGCCUGGACUCGGAGUUUGCUGCAGGCAGGACCCGCUGCAGCCCACCGGGGGCCAAGGCAGGUGUUGUGGACGGGGGUGGAGAGGCUGCGGCUGGACAGAUGGACUCAAGCAGGGGCCUGGGCCCAGAGCUCCCGGGCUGACUGGGCAGGACAGAUCCCGGCGGGCGAGGCCGGUCACAACGGACAGAGCCGGGGCCUGCCCAAGGCCGUGUGCAUGAAUGGCACGGAGUCGGCACAGCUGAGCACCAAGUCCCGGGCGGAGCGCCGGGCCAGCAGCGCUGCCAACCCU